GUUACACCCCCAACCGACGCCGCCAUGCUCUCGUUCGGGGUGCAGCUCAAUCCAAGCCGCUUCCUCUUUCGGGGCAGGUUUUAACUGGGUUUCGCUUGUGUCACUGUCCCAGUCAAUCGAUGGCUGAGUGCCGAGGCCUGAAUAUUCUAACGCAGUCGAUCGCGGCAACCUCACGUCAAUUUGCCUUCGUCACCACAGUUUGUGUGAAAUUUCACAAAAAGAAAUAUUUACUGCUGCUAAUGAACAUCGCGCGUUUGUCGGCCGUCAACUCAGUUUCUCUUCUCUCUGGUGUGCAGAUGGCGCCCGGAAUGAGAAUUCUAAUCGGGACUACUUUCGCGUCAAAGAGUCUCUCUACUCAUAAAAACCCGAUCACAAUUCCAGAAACGACAUAAUUCGCAAGUCUUAUCGGAAGAGCUUUGUAACUUUAUUGAGUUGUCAUUACGCAUAUUCCUUUAGAUAUUUCAAAUUCGGACAGCUUUCCAAAUUCAUAGGACUCUCGCGGAAGGACCAGACAUUAAAACGUGUACUGCACUCAUCAAUGAAUCACAAUAGGGUAUCACUGCGCAUCAGCAUUGCGGCGGCUGUGGGGAUGGAAGCGCAUGCGCUUAAAAACCAUUCUGUGGAAAAGUCGAGAAUGUUCACACAAGAUCUUGUCAAUCAGCAGUCUUAAAAAAGGUCAACUUUGAUGAUCAGCAUGGAAUCAAAAUUUUACAGUGCAAGAGGUAAACAUUCAAGGUGGUAUACAGUACCUUGACAUCAUGGAUGAUAGUCUUUGGAUUGCUCUCUGCACACUACAGACUGGAAGGUUAGAAGAGAAGAUUAGAAAAAAUACGUGGCUGUAGUGCGAAUGAUGUAGAAGGAUCCACCUGAAGAAGAAGCAGCGCUUUGAAAGCUUGUGAUUUCAAAUAAACCUAUUGGACUAUAA